CAGAAUGGCCUGGCACGGUGACCACGGAGUGCCCUGGCACCGGUGCCCGCGGCUGUGACGGAAAAAGGGUGGGAAGAACAGGGAAGAGGAAGCAGAAACAGGUUAUCUGUUCACUCUGAUGGUAGAGAAGACCUUAAAUGACCUGAUGGAGCUGAAAACCAUGGCGAGAACUUCCUGCCUUCGAUUUCUCACAAGCUCGGGCAUACCACGAGGCUUGGAGACUCAAAACCUGAAGAGCCUGCAAUCAGAUUUCUCCCUUACUAUUCCUGCUCAUUGUCUUCUGUGGACUAAUACUGAACAUGAAACUCAGAUGGUUUCCAGAGUUAGUUCCUUACAAGCAUUUCCUCUUGAAACAUCGGGAAUCUAAAUAAAGGGAAAGGUGUCUAAUGGUCUAGUCUACCAACUUCACUAUGCUGAUUUAUGAAAGAAUUGCUGAAACCCAGUGAAUAAUAGCAUUUGCCCUUCUUUCUCAAAAAAGCAGCAUUUGCUUUCUUCUGGCAAGGAAUAAUUAAGCUAAUUUCUCCAUGAACCUUGGAAAAAGUGGCAACGAAUAAUGGAUUUGUCCCUCAAAGAACAUUUCAAGCAAACAUCUUAUCAGCUACAAAUUCAUUUGAGGCAGUUCCAGGUCAGCCACAGGCAAUUUUUCUCAUUAAAAUACUGUUUAAACUGUUGUAUCCAGAUGACACAGGAGACAUAUCAGACAAACAACACCUGCAAGAAGAAUUGGUGAAGUAUUGACUUUUCAUCAAUCAAAAAGUUUACUAAGCAGAUGAAAAUAAUUUGCCUUCACAGUGACAUUUUCCUGACGUCUUGCUAGUACUUAAAGGCAUUGUUUUUUCUUUAACACCCAAACUUUAAUUACCAGAAAAGGUUAGCAUCAAAACAAAGGACAUGUUGGUAAUUUAGAGGCACUCCUUGAUGAAAUAAGUAAGAAAGCUUGUCAAGAGCCAUCACUCUUGCUCAUGGGACAAGAGAAGGCACUGACCUGUGCCCACCAGCACCCCAUCACUGAGCCAACACCACCUUCAGGAAGACAGUCUCCAGCAGGGCUUCCCCCAAUUCCCCUAGCUGCUUUGCCUCUGCUACUCCGGUAAGCACCUGCAGGGAGGCAGGCACCCCAGCACCCACUAGCAUUCUGCAACAGCUGUUGCACCUUGGCUCCCCCAGUACAGUGGAUUCCAAACCUCAAGGAGUCAAAGAACAGAUGGGGCCCAAUACAAAUUCCCCAGAAUUACAACAUGCCGUCCAGGAGUUGAGAGCUGAGUGUUGACCUUCUAAAAUCUCCCAGAAACAAAGCCAGGUGGCUGAAUCCACCUUAUAUUAUAGUCAAACCCUCAAGGUCAUCAAAUCAUCAAAUAGGAUAAAAGAAAAAAAAAUCCAAAGGUCAGCAACAUCCAAGAUUGAAGACAGAUAAGCUCACAAAGAUGAGAAAGAGUCAGCACAGGAAAACUGAAAACUCGAAAAACCAGAGUGCCCUCUUUCCUACGAACAGCCACAUCACCUCUCCAGCAAAGGUUCUGAACUGAGCUGAGAUGGCCAAAAUGACAGAAAUAGAAUUCAGAAUAUGGAUAAGAAUGA
rnacentral:lncRNA from 1 species